UACGGAGGAUGCAAGCGUUAUCCGGAAUGAUUGGGCGUAAAGCGUCCGCAGGUGGCUAUGUAAGUCUGCUGUUAAAGAGUGAGGCUCAUCCUCAUAAGAGCAGUGGAAACUACAUGGCUAGAGUGCGUUCGGGGCAGAGGGAAUUCCUGGUGUAGCGGUGAAAUGCGUAGAGACCAGGAAGAACACCGGUGGCGAAAGCGCUCUGCUAGGCCGCAACUGACACUCAUGGACGAAAGCUAGGGGAGCGAAUGGG
rnacentral:rRNA from 1 species